CACUUCUUCUUCUAUACUUUGUUCUUUCGCUUCAUCUGUUGCAUAUCAGUAUCAGAGACAAGCACUGCAGGAAUUGUUUGCAUUGUUAGUUUCAACUUCUGCAUUGUGAAGAGCAGACAAUAUAGAGCUAAUAUGCGCGGAGUAGCUGCAUUGUCUCCUGUUAAGAACAGAUUCAAACCGAUCUACCCCAUUAAAGGGUCAUGGGGUACUGUGGCCACUUCGACAUCAAGCAAACAAGGGAACGAAAAUUAUGGGGAAGCAGGGCUUGUGACGAAAGAGAAAACUGAUCCAAUUGCCGUCUUCAGUAGGCCUCCGCCCCCUCCACCUGUUUUUGGACCGCUGCUCGCUCUCUCAUUGUUAGAAGCCUUGUGGAGUUGCAACAGCGAUGAUGACUGACAGGUGAUCUCCUUACUGGAAUUGCUGGACUGUAUGGCACUCUACUUGAAGAAUAUGUUUGAAAUGUAAAGCAAAAUGUUGUAUGCAUAGCUGAGCAAUCGAAUUGCCAUGUUCCAGAGCCCUAUGUAGCCUUCUAUGAUGGGUGCAAACAUAAUUUUGUAUAUCCUCCAUAUCCAUUGGAAGACAAUAUGAGGACUUCUUAGGAACCCUGCAGGAGAAACAUUGAUGAUAUGUCAUGUUAAUCUGUGAUGUAAUUAGUAACUGAAGUGUGUGAUUUCGGUUUAACUAUACUUACAUUCAGUAGCUCUUGGGAAACCAUCAAAUAGAGAGGUCACUGCCUUCAAGAGACUCUGAGAUGUCCAUCAGCAAAAUCAGACAUCAAUAAAAGCUUUUUCUCAUAGGGCAAGUUGACUGUAAAGAUAGUAGCUGAAAGAGUUACCAGUACUAGGUGUCCUG